CUCAGGGCAUUGAGCACAGACUGAAUGACUCAGUGACGCUUGGAUCAGGUCAGAUCAAAUUCUCAAGCAAACAGAUGGCUGGGGAUAUUCAGUAGCAACGGUGAGGAGAGAGAGGAACAAUUCACAUUGCAAGGGACCCUUCCUCAAAACGGCCUGUUCUGAAGGAGCUUUCCCGCAGAAAUCAUUGGAUUGAAAGGUAUUCAGGAAGUUCCUGUCUCAGCCGAAUUCAUAACUCCUGUCUCGUCCAUAACCGCAUCAAAGCCAGUUGGUCAGCCAGAGAGAGAUGGAGAGGGAGAUCUGGAGCCUUCAGUAAAUCCUGCAGCCGCUUCUGGCAACAAAUGGCCACAAAACGAUCAAAGGUGAAAGUGACGGUGAACCAGACAGAGCAGUCAGUGGCUGAAUAAACCAGGAUGGCGUGGAUAUUACACACGCGGACGGAGUACAGGAAAUAAAACUGUUCCUUAUAAACAAUGGGAAUGUGUCUCAGGAUCAGAUCGAGGAUAAUGACCAGGAGAUCCGCCGCUGCCAUGGCCGCCAGGUAACGUCUGACACAUGGAGACAAUCCACAAUCUUUAUAAAGCAGGACGUAGAUGGUCACUACGUUAACUGUGAGGAAGGAAAACAAACCCAUUAUCCAUCAGCCUGGAGGCAAAGGGACCCGUUUGAUCGGGGACCCAGUGAGAUUUUCAAAUGUGUCCCUGUAUUCAGGGAUUUAUUAAAAUAAUUGGAGCUUGAAUAACAAAUGGGAAAGUCUGAAUUACUGACAAAAAUGUGACAUAAACCACAAACCCUCUCUCCCCAAACACACAGAGACACAUCCAUAAGGACAGAUGGUUUCUAGAACAUUCCCACAUACUCGAUCACUCGAGAGCAGACACAGAUCACUCUUUCCCAGUUCCUAAUAUGAAGGGUGGAAACAUUUCUGUCCUGAAGGAUUCUCUCCCAGUUUCCUGAAGACAAACGGAGUUUGGGAUUCCCGUAUUUUGGUAUAAAUUGUCAUUGAUCCUGUGUCGUGGAGAAAUGUAAACGCAGGGAAAAAAAAUCCCCCCUUUAACUGCCUGAGGGGCCUUCGGAACAGUGUCUCCUUCUCCCUGGAACGGGAUCUCUUCCCUCGGGAUCUAACCGUUUGUUCAAUUCACUGACGUCCGGCCGUUCACAAACAAACAACGUCAGGGACAGAACGUUCCGGGGAAUGUCAGUUAUAGAAUGUCAGAGAUGGAAACUUCCGAGAAACUCCGUGACCUGUCCAUCACCUUUCCCCCCUAUCCACCCCACCACCAUGAUGUACUGUGCACAGGCUACAUAUCCAUCCAGCACAGGGAGCUGUGCAGACCACAUCAUUGCAUUAUCCAUAAACGUCAAC